UGGGGAAUAUUGGACAAUGGGCGAAAGCCUGAUCCAGCAACGCCGCGUGAGGGAUGACGGCCUUCGGGUUGUAAACCUCUUUCAGCGGGGACGAAGCGAAAGUGACGGUACCCGCAGAAGAAGGACCGGCCAACUACGUGCCAGCAGCCGCGGUAAUACGUAGGGUCCGAGCGUUGUCCGGAAUUAUUGGGCGUAAAGGGCUCGUAGGCGGUUUGUCACGUCGGGAGUGAAAACACGGGGCUUAACCCCGUGCCUGCUUCCGAUACGGGCAGACUAGAGGUAUGCAGGGGAGAACGGAAUUCCUGGUGUAGCGGUGAAAUGCGCAGAUAUCAGGAGGAACACCGGUGGCGAAGGCGGUUCUCUGGGCAUUACCUGACGCUGAGGAGCGAAAGUGUGGGGAGCGAACAGGAUUAGAUACCCUGGUAGUCCACACCGUAAACGUUGGCGCUAGGUGUGGGACUCAUUCCACGAGUUCCGCGCCGCAGCUAACGCA
rnacentral:rRNA from 1 species